GGGGGCCCGCACAAGCGGCGGAGCAUGCGGAUUAAUUCGAUGCAACGCGAAGAACCUUACCAAGGCUUGACAUGAACCGGAAAUACCUGGAAACAGGUGCCCCGCUUGCGGUCGGUUUACAGGUGGUGCAUGGUUGUCGUCAGCUCGUGUCGUGAGAUGUUGGGUUAAGUCCCGCAACGAGCGCAACCCUCGUUCUAUGUUGCCAGCGCGUUAUGGCGGGGACUCAUAGGAGACUGCCGGGGUCAACUCGGAGGAAGGUGGGGACGACGUCAAAUCAUCAUGCCCCUUAUGUCUUGGGCUUCACGCAUGCUACAAUGGCCGGUACAAAGGGUUGCGAUACUGUGAGGUGGAGCUAAUCCCAAAAAGCCGGUCUCAGUUCGGAUUGGGGUCUGCAACUCGACCCCAUGAAGUCGGAGUCGCUAGUAAUCACAGAUCAGCAACGCUGCGGUGAAUACGUUCCCGGGCCUUGUACACACCGCCCGUCAAGUCACGAAAGUUGGUAACACCCGAAGCCGGUGGCCUAACCCCUUGUGGGAGGGAGCUGUCGAAGGUGGGACUGGCGAUUGGGACC
rnacentral:rRNA from 1 species